UACGUAGGGACCAAGCGUUGUUCGGAUUUACUGGGCGUAAAGGGCGCGUAGGCGGCCACCGCAAGUCAAUUGUGAAAUCUCCGGGCUUAACUCGGAAAGGUCAACUGAUACUGCGGGGCUAGAGUGCAGAAGGGGCAACUGGAAUUCUCGGUGUAGCGGUGAAAUGCGUAGAUAUCGAGAGGAACACCUGCGGCGAAGGCGGGUUGCUGGGCUGACACUGACGCUGAGGCGCGAAAGCUAGGGGAGCGAACGGG
rnacentral:rRNA from 1 species